GCCCUCGUGGAUCAUGGUUGAUCAUCUUCAUACUAUGACGCUGCAAAACAAAUCUCUGAAGACGUCGUAGGUUCGAAUUCUACUGAGGGCA